CGCUGGCGGCGUGCCUAACACAUGCAAGUCGAACGGGGUGAUUUUCUUCGGAGGAUCACUUAGUGGCGAACGGGUGAGUAACGCGUGAGAAACCUGCCUUUCAGUGGGGGACAACAGUGGGAAACUACUGCUAAUACCGCAUAAUGUUAUUUGGGGGCAUCCCCGAAUAACCAAAGAUUUAUUGCUGAAAGAUGGUCUCGCGUCUGAUUAGCUAGUUGGUGAGGUAACGGCUCACCAAGACCGCGAUCGGCAGCCGGACUGAGAGGUUGAACGGCCACAUUGGGACUGAGACACGGCCCAGACUCCUACGGGAGGCAGCAGUGAGGAAUAUUGGUCAAUGGUCUGACGACUGAACCAGCCAAGUCGCGUGAAGGAAGACGGUUUUAUGGAUUGUAAACUUCUUUAGUCGGGGAGCAAAAAGAGUGACGAGUCACUAAUUGAGCGUACCCGAAGAAUAAGCAUCGGCUAACUCCGUG
rnacentral:rRNA from 1 species